rnacentral:rRNA from 16 species
UACUCCUGAGUGACCGAUAGCGAAGAAAGUUCCGUGAGGGAAAGGUGAAAAGAACGCCGAGAAGGCGAGUGAAAUAGUACCUGAAACCGUGUGCUUACAAGCGGUCGGAGUCUGCAUUUAUGUGGAUGACGGCGUGCCUUUUGUAUAAUGAGCCUACGAGUUACUCCUGUUGUGCGAGGUUAAGCCCCUGUAGGGGUGCAGCCGCAGCGAAAGCGAGUCUGAAUAGGGC